GACGAACGCUGGCGGCGUGCCUAAUACAUGCAAGUUGAGCGAUGAAGAUUGGUGCUUGCACCAAUUUGAAGAGCAGCGAACGGGUGAGUAACGCGUGGGGAAUCUGCCUUUGAGCGGGGGACAACAUUUGGAAACGAAUGCUAAUACCGCAUAACAACUUUAAACAUAAGUUUUAAGUUUGAAAGAUGCAAUUGCAUCACUCAAAGAUGAUCCCGCGUUGUAUUAGCUAGUUGGUGAGGUAAAGGCUCACCAAGGCGAUGAUACAUAGCCGACCUGAGAGGGUGAUCGGCCACAUUGGGACUGAGAUACGGCCCAAACUCCUACGGGAGGCAGCAGUAGGGAAUCUUCGGCAAUGGACGAAAGUCUGACCGAGCAACGCCGCGUGAGUGAAGAAGGUUUUCGGAUCGUAAAACUCUGUUGGUAGAGAAGAACGUUGGUGAGAGUGGAAAGCUCAUCAAGUGACGGUAACUACCCAGAAAGGGACGGCUAACUACGU
rnacentral:rRNA from 1 species